UUAUUUAUGUACAGAGUGCGGGAGGUAAUAGUCAUUUUCUCGCCAUCAUCACCUGAUUUCAAUCCUCUACAGAGCCUACAACGCGUGGAGCGUCGUAGAGGCCAAGGUUGGUAAUGCAUCUCACUGUAAUGUGGACACUUUGAAGGCUCUAGAGCAAGAUAUUUAAGAAAUACGUCCAGAAGACCUUCCCCAGGCUUCGUUCUCGUUUGGAGAAUGUGAUUGCUUCUUAUCAAGGAGGCCCCAUUAAGGGAUACAAGAAGCUUCUGAAUGAUUCAAUGUAGCAAAAUUUUUCUCCUGCACUCUGUACUUCAAAAUAAGUAUACCCAAAUUACGGGAUUCAGACUCUGGUAUGGUUUCGUAAAUAUGUUCCAAUGACUUCUUCAUAUGUGCAGAUACAUUAUAGUAUGUUGCGUCAGGUGUCUCUUGAGAUUCAUUCAUGUUUCACAAGUAAACCAACCAACAACGUGUCUGUGCACGAUGAUAAUCCACAUACAAAAAUGUACUUUCACAACUGCUAAGCUCCUUGAAACUACACUCAAAAUUUGAAAUAACUACCUUAAUCACAAGAACGCGAAGGAAGGAGAUGAAAAACUGCAAAAAGCAGGCGUGCAAUUUCUGUGGUAUUUGCAAUAUAUAUAAUAUAGGAAUGGUUCACAUCUGAAUAAGAGCUCAUUCGAAUUCAACCAAUCAAUGUUCAGAACACGUAUUAGGAGAAAUGAAGAGGAAAUAUUGACAGCUGACUACGCAUAUACAUUGUCAGGUGCGUCUGCAGGAUUAUAGAUUUAUAAUAUUUUUUCUGAAAAAUAUCUAAAAAUUCAUUAUUUUUGGAAUUUUUUUUUUUCAAAAAUCCAUAGCUAUUUAUAGUAUCAAUGUUAUUUAGAUAAUGACAUUUUUAAACUAGUUGAUUUGGUCUGGAAUAUGAGGAGUGGAGACCGUAAC
rnacentral:lncRNA from 1 species